rnacentral:lncRNA from 1 species
GCCGGGCGCGGUGGCUCAUGCCUGUAAUCCCAGCACUUUGGGAGGCCAAGGCAGGCAGAUCACCUGAGGUUGGGAGUUUGAGACCGGCCUGACCAACAUGGAAAAACCCUGUCUCUGCCAAAAACACAAAAUUAGCCGGGUGUGGUGGCACACACCUGUAAUCCCAGCUACUUGGGAGGCUGAGGCAGGAGAAUCACUUGAACCCGGGAGGCAGAGGUUGCAGUGAGCAGAGAUGGGGUUUCUCCAUGUUGGUCAGGCUGGUCUUGAACUCCCAACCUCAGGU